GGGUGCGUUUGAUUUGCUAAAAAACAGGGGACUGGACAGGACAACUUUUGUUGUACUCUGUUUGAUUUGAAAUUUGUUAUGGGACUGGACAAAUUAGAUAGCAAGGGACAGGACAAAAACAAGAUUUUUUGUCCCUCACUAAACCACGGGACAACUUUUUGUCCACAGUACAAAUAUAAAAAAUACGAAAAUACCCAUUUU
rnacentral:lncRNA from 1 species